rnacentral:rRNA from 1 species
ACGCUGGCGGCAGGCCUAACACAUGCAAGUCGAGCGGUAGAGAGAAGCUUGCUUCUCUUGAGAGCGGCGGACGGGUGAGUAAUGCCUAGGAAUCUGCCUGGUAGUGGGGGAUAACGUUCGGAAACGGACGCUAAUACCGCAUACGUCCUACGGGAGAAAGCAGGGGACCUUCGGGCCUUGCGCUAUCAGAUGAGCCUAGGUCGGAUUAGCUAGUUGGUGGGGUAAUGGCUCACCAAGGCGACGAUCCGUAACUGGUCUGAGAGGAUGAUCAGUCACACUGGAACUGAGACACGGUCCAGACUCCUACGGGAGGCAGCAGUGGGGAAUAUUGGACAAUGGGCGAAAGCCUGAUCCAGCCAUGCCGCGUGUGUGAAGAAGGUCUUCGGAUUGUAAAGCACUUUAAGUUGGGAGGAAGGGUUGUAGAUUAAUACUCUGCAAUUUUGACGUUACCGACAGAAUAAGCACCGGCUAACCCUGUGCCAGCAGCCGCGGUAAUACAGAGGGUGCAAGCGUUAAUCGGAAUUACUGGGCGUAAAGCGCGCGUAGGUGGUUAGUUAAGUUGGAUGUGAAAUCUCCGGGCUCAACCUGGGAACUGCAUUCAAAACUGACUGACUAGAGUAUGGUAGAGGGUGGUGGAAUUUCCUGUGUAGCGGUGAAAUGCGUAGAUAUAGGAAGGAACACCAGUGGCGAAGGCGACCACCUGGACUGAUACUGACACUGAGGUGCGAAAGCGUGGGGAGCAAAC